UGAGCUAUAUGCUUGUCCUGAUGAAAUUGGAACGAUACAGAGAAGAUUAACAUGACCCUUGUGCAAGGAUGACACUCACAAAUUGAGAAAUAGUUCAAUUUUUU